GCAUCAACUGAGAACUUCGUGGCAAGUGGUGGAGGCGAGAUGUAAGCCAUACAGUUUCUAGCCUAAGGGAGGAGCGGGACGGAAGCUAUACGGUUACAUUGAUGCUGUGGACCCGGAUCACUGGCUGCUGCGGAAAAGGAGGAGAUCAAAAGAGGGGACCAUGCCUCAGGACUACCUAGCCUGAUGACUCCUUGCUAUCCCGAGUCCACCUGGUCAUGCUGCUGCUCCCGUUUCAACUGUUCUGUAUGCGGCUGUGGAACCCUGACCUGUUCACUGGACGUGCUACCUUAUCCCGGACCUGCUGUUUUCGACCCUCUCUCUACCACAACUGCUGUCUCUAACUCUGAAUGAUCGGCUAUGAAAAGCCAACUGACAUUUAAUCCUGAGGUGCUGACCUGUUGCACCCUCUAGAACCACUGUGAUUA